GAUGAACGCUGGCGGCGUGCCUAAUACAUGCAAGUCGAGCGAACAGAUGAGGAGCUUGCUCCUCUGACGUUAGCGGCGGACGGGUGAGUAACACGUGGAUAACCUACUUAUAAUUCUGGGAUAACUUCGGGAAACCGGAUCUAAUACCGGAUAAUAUAUUGAACCGCAUGGUUCAAUAGUGAAAGACGGUUUUGCUGUCUCUUAUAGAUGGAUCCGCGCCGCAUUAGCUAGUUGGUAAGGUAACGGCUUACCAAGGCUACGAUGCGUAGACGACCUGAGAGGGUGAUCGGCCACACUGGAGCUGAGACACGGUCCAGACUCCUACGGGAGGCAGCAGUAGGGAAUCUUAGGCAAUGGGCGAAAGCCUGACGGAGCGACACCGCGUGAGUGAUGAAGGUCUUCGGAUCGUAAAGCUCUGUUGUUGGGGAAGAACAGAUGUGGAAGAAAAUAUGCACGUCUUGACGGUACCUAAUCAGAAAGCAACGGCUAACUACGUG
rnacentral:rRNA from 1 species